GGCAGGCCUAACACAUGCAAGUCGAACGGUAACAGGAAACAGCUUGCUGUUUCGCUGACGAGUGGCGGACGGGUGAGUAAUGUCUGGGAAACUGCCUGAUGGAGGGGGAUAACUACUGGAAACGGUAGCUAAUACCGCAUAACGUCGCAAGACCAAAGAGGGGGACCUUAGGGCCUCUUGCCAUCGGAUGUGCCCAGAUGGGAUUAGCUAGUAGGUGGGGUAAAGGCUCACCUAGGCGACGAUCCCUAGCUGGUCUGAGAGGAUGACCAGCCACACUGGAACUGAGACACGGUCCAGACUCCUACGGGAGGCAGCAGUGGGGAAUAUUGCACAAUGGGCGCAAGCCUGAUGCAGCCAUGCCGCGUGUAUGAAGAAGGCCUUCGGGUUGUAAAGUACUUUCAGCGGGGAGGAAGGGAGUAAAGUUAAUACCUUUGCUCAUUGACGUUACCCGCAGAAGAAGCACCGGCUAACUCCGUGCCAGCAGCCGCGGUAAUACGGAGGGUGCAAGCGUUAAUCGGAAUUACUGGGCGUAAAGCGCACGCAGGCGGUUUGUUAAGUCAGAUGUGAAAUCCCCGGGCUCAACCUGGGAACUGCAUCUGAUACUGGCAAGCUUGAGUCUCCGUAGAGGGGGGUAGAAUUCCAGGUGUAGCGGUGAAAUGCGUAGAGAUCUGGAGGAAUACCGGUGGCGAAGGCGGCCCCCUGGACGAAGACUGACGCUCAGGCGCGAAAGCGUGGGGAGCAAACAGGAUUAGAUACCCUGGUAGUCCACGCCGUAAACGAUGUCGACUUGGAGGUUGUGCCCUUGAGGCGUGGCUUCCGGAGCUAACGCGUUAAGUCGACCGCCUGGGGAGUACGGCCGCAAGGUUAAAACUCAAAUGAAUUGACGGGGGCCCGCACAAGCGGUGGAGCAUGUGGUUUAAUUCGAUGCAACGCGAAGAACCUUACCUGGUCUUGACAUCCACGGAAGUUUUCAGAGAUGAGAAUGUGCCUUCGGGAACCGUGAGACAGGUGCUGCAUGGCUGUCGUCAGCUCGUGUUGUGAAAUGUUGGGUUAAGUCCCGCAACGAGCGCAACCCUUAUCCUUUGUUGCCAGCGGUCCGGCCGGGAACUCAAAGGAGACUGCCAGUGAUAAACUGGAGGAAGGUGGGGAUGACGUCAAGUCAUCAUGGCCCUUACGACCAGGGCUACACACGUGCUACAAUGGCGCAUACAAAGAGAAGCGACCUCGCGAGAGCAAGCGGACCUCAUAAAGUGCGUCGUAGUCCGGAUUGGAGUCUGCAACUCGACUCCAUGAAGUCGGAAUCGCUAGUAAUCGUGGAUCAGAAUGCCACGGUGAAUACGUUCCCGGGCCUUGUACACACCGCCCGCCACACCAUGGGAGUGGGUUGCAAAAGAAGUAGGUAGCUUAACCUUCGGGAGGGCGCUUACCACUUUGUGAUUCAUGACUGGGGUGAA
rnacentral:rRNA from 1 species